AGAGUUUGAUCCUGGCUCAGGAUGAACGCUAGCUACAGGCUUAACACAUGCAAGUCGAGGGGCAUCAGGAAGAAAGCUUGCUUUCUUUGCUGGCGACCGGCGCACGGGUGAGUAACACGUAUCCAACCUGCCCUUUACUCGGGGAUAGCCUUUCGAAAGAAAGAUUAAUACCCGAUGGCAUAAUGAUUCCGCAUGGUUUCAUUAUUAAAGGAUUCCGGUAAAGGAUGGGGAUGCGUUCCAUUAGGUUGUUGGUGAGGUAACGGCUCACCAAGCCUUCGAUGGAUAGGGGUUCUGAGAGGAAGGUCCCCCACAUUGGAACUGAGACACGGUCCAAACUCCUACGGGAGGCAGCAGUGAGGAAUAUUGGUCAAUGGGCGCUAGCCUGAACCAGCCAAGUAGCGUGAAGGAUGAAGGCUCUAUGGGUCGUAAACUUCUUUUAUAUAAGAAUAAAGUGCAGUAUGUAUACUGUUUUGUAUGUAUUAUAUGAAUAAGGAUCGGCUAACUCCGUGCCAGCAGCCGCGGUAAUACGGAGGAUCCGAGCGUUAUCCGGAUUUAUUGGGUUUAAAGGGAGCGUAGGUGGACUGGUAAGUCAGUUGUGAAAGUUUGCGGCUCAACCGUAAAAUUGCAGUUGAUACUGUCAGUCUUGAGUACAGUAGAGGUGGGCGGAAUUCGUGGUGUAGCGGUGAAAUGCUUAGAUAUCACGAAGAACUCCGAUUGCGAAGGCAGCUCACUGGACUGCAACUGACACUGAUGCUCGAAAGUGUGGGUAUCAAACAGGAUUAGAUACCCUGGUAGUCCACACAGUAAACGAUGAAUACUCGCUGUUUGCGAUAUACAGUAAGCGGCCAAGCGAAAGCAUUAAGUAUUCCACCUGGGGAGUACGCCGGCAACGGUGAAACUCAAAGGAAUUGACGGGGGCCCGCACAAGCGGAGGAACAUGUGGUUUAAUUCGAUGAUACGCGAGGAACCUUACCCGGGCUUAAAUUGCAGUGGAAUGAUGUGGAAACAUGUCAGUGAGCAAUCACCGCUGUGAAGGUGCUGCAUGGUUGUCGUCAGCUCGUGCCGUGAGGUGUCGGCUUAAGUGCCAUAACGAGCGCAACCCUUAUCUUCAGUUACUAACAGGUCAUGCUGAGGACUCUGGAGAGACUGCCGUCGUAAGAUGUGAGGAAGGUGGGGAUGACGUCAAAUCAGCACGGCCCUUACGUCCGGGGCUACACACGUGUUACAAUGGGGGGUACAGAAGGCAGCUAGCGGGUGACCGUAUGCUAAUCCCAAAAGCCUCUCUCAGUUCGGAUCGAAGUCUGCAACCCGACUUCGUGAAGCUGGAUUCGCUAGUAAUCGCGCAUCAGCCACGGCGCGGUGAAUACGUUCCCGGGCCUUGUACACACCGCCCGUCAAGCCAUGGGAGCCGGGGGUACCUGAAGUACGUAACCGCAAGGAUCGUCCUAGGGUAAAACUGGUGACUGGGGCUAAGUCGUAACAAGGUAGCCGUACCGGAAGGUGCGGCUG
rnacentral:rRNA from 1 species